CUUCCUUCGGGAGGGGAGUAGAGUGGCGCACGGGUGAGUAACACGUAGGUAAUCUACCUUUGGGUGGGGAAUAACAGCCGGAAACGGCUGCUAAUACCGCAUAAUGCAGCGGCUCGACAUCGAGACAGUUGUUAAAGCGGGGGAUUCGCAAGAACCUCGCGCCUAAAGAGGAGCCUGCGGCAGAUUAGCUAGUUGGUGGGGUAAUGGCUCACCAAGGCAACGAUCUGUAACCGGCCUGAGAGGGCGGUCGGUCACACUGACACUGACAUACGGGUCAGACUCCUACGGGAGGCAGCAGGUCGGGAAUUUUGGGCAAUGGGCGAAAGCCUGACCCAGCAACGCCGCGUGAAGGAUGAAAUCCCUCGGGAUGUAAACUUCGCAAGAAUGGGAAGAACAAGUGGGGGACAAUACCCCCCAUGAUGACGGUACCAUUUGUAAGCUCCGGCUAACUCCGUGCCAGCAGCCGCGGUAAUACGGGGGGAGCAAGCGUUGUUCGGAUUUACUGGGCGUAAAGGGCGCGUAGCGGCCACGACAAGUCACUUGUGAAAUCUCCGGGCUUAACUCGGAACGGUCAAGUGAUACUGUCGGGCUAGAGUGCA
rnacentral:rRNA from 1 species